rnacentral:rRNA from 1 species
UGGGGAAUAUUGGACAAUGGGCGAAAGCCUGAUCCAGCCAUGCCGCGUGUGUGAAGAAGGUCUUCGGAUUGUAAAGCACUUUAAGUUGGGAGGAAGGGCAGUAAGCGAAUACCUUGCUGUUUUGACGUUACCGACAGAAUAAGCAACGGCUAACUCUGUGCCAGCAGCCGCGGUAAUACAGAGGGUGCAAGCGUUAAUCGGAAUUACUGGGCGUAAAGCGCGCGUAGGUGGUUUGUUAAGUUGGAUGUGAAAGCCCCGGGCUCAACCUGGGAACUGCAUCCAAAACUGGCAAGCUAGAGUACAGUAGAGGGUGGUGGAAUUUCCUGUGUAGCGGUGAAAUGCGUAGAUAUAGGAAGGAACACCAGUGGCGAAGGCGACCACCUGGACUGAUACUGACACUGAGGUGCGAAAGCGUGGGGAGCAAAC